UACCUGGUUGAUUCUGCCAGUAGUCAUAUGCUUGUCUACAAAGAUUAAGCCAUGCAUGUCUAAGUAUAAGCUAAUUUUAUACCGUGAAACUGCGAAUGGCUCAAUUAAAUCUAGUUAUUCGUUUAUUUGAUAGUACCUUACUACUUGGAUAACCGUGGUAAUUCUAGAGCUAAUACAUGCUAAAAGCCCCGACUUCGGAAGGGGUGUAUUUAUUAGAUAAAAAACCAAUGCCCUCCGGGGCUCCUUGGUGAUUCAUAAUAACUUAACGAAUCGCAUGGCCUUGUGCCGGCGAUGGUUCAUUCAAAUUUCUGCCCUAUCAACUUUCGAUGGUAGUAUAUGGGACUACCAUGGUUUCAACGGGUAACGGGGAAUUAGGGUUCUAUUCCGGAGAGGGAGCCUGAGAAACGGCUACCACAUCCAAGGAAGGCAGCAGGCGCGCAAAUUACCCAAUCCCGACACGGGGAGGUAGUGACAAUAAAUACUGAUACAGGGCUCUUUUGGGUCUUGUAAUUGGAAUGAGUACAAUUUAAAUCCCUUAACGAGGAACAAUUGGAGGGCAAGUCUGGUGCCAGCAGCCGCGGUAAUUCCAGCUCCAAUAGCGUAUAUUAAAGUUGUUGCAGUUAAAAAGCUCGUAGUUGAACCUUGGGCCUGGCUGGCC
rnacentral:ncRNA from 1 species